CAAAUUUGAAACAGGCGGUGAUGCUACAGCGCACUCUCGGGGAGGACAUGCGACUUCUGGUGUGGAGGGGACACAGGUUCGCACACGUUUCGGUCUUCUCGGUGCCACCUCAGGCCCCUAGUGGCAUCGGUUAAAGGAGCUCUGGAGCUGCCUUGAACCGAGAGAUGAAUAUGGGCCCAGAACUGUGACACGCAACACAUCAGACUACAGCAUUUCUACAGAUCAUGACCUGUCAGUGUACUUCCGGUGCAGAACCGCAGCCUUCAGAAUAAAAGGUGCCUUGAAAAAUCAACAUGGCGUGGAUCUGUGACAAAAUGGAGUCAGACCUGAAUGACUAAGAUAAUAAAAUAUGUAUUUUGAUAUAAAAAGCCGAAAACAAAAUAAUUCUGAUUCAACCAAGACGUUUCUGAUGGGAAAUGACACCCACACAUAACUCAAAAGGUACAACAAUGUGUUACAAACCCCUGGAUUAGAAGGGGGGGCGGCAUAACAUGACCACAAUCAAUUGACAGAGACCUUGAAAAAGCGAAUAAAAGUUUAAUUUUUCUCAUAACAACAGUCCUGAGUCCUGAUUGGUCAUUUGAAGUUCUCCAUCCAAUCA